rnacentral:sRNA from 1 species
GCUGGGCAUGGUGAUGCAUGCCUGUAAUCCUAGUGACUCGGGAUGCUAAAGCUGGAGGAUCAAAAGUUUGAGGCCAGGCUUGGU